GAUGAACGCUGGCGGCGUGCCUAAUACAUGCAAGUCGAGCGAACAGAUAAUGAGCUUGUUCCUUUGACGUUAGCGGCGGACGGGUGAGUAACACGUGGGUAACCUACUUAUAAUACUGGAAUAACUACGGGAAACCGGGGCUAAUGCCGGAUAACAUUUAGAACCGCAUGGUUCUAAAGAGAAAGAUGGUUUUGCUAUCACUUAUAGAUGGACCCGCGCCGUAUUAGCUAGUUGGUAAGGUAACGGCCUACCAAGGCAACGAUCCGUAGCCGACCUGAGAGGGUGAUCGGCCACACUGGAACUGAGACACGGUCCAGACUCCUACGGGAGGCAGCAGUAGGGAAUCUUCGGCAAUGGGCGAAAGCCUGACCGAGCAACGCCGCGUGGGUGAUGAAGGUCUUCGGAUCGUAAAACUCUGUUAUUAGGGAAGAACAGAUGUGGAAGUAAAUAUGGACGUCUUGACGGUACCUAAUCAGAAAGCAACGGCUAACUACGUG
rnacentral:rRNA from 1 species